UUGAACGCUGGCGGCAUGCCUUACACAUGCAAGUCGAACGGUAACAGGUCUUCGGAUGCUGACGAGUGGCGAACGGGUGAGUAAUACAUCGGAACGUACCCUGUCGUGGGGGAUAACACAUCGAAAGAUGUGCUAAUACCGCAUACGACCUGAGGGUGAAAGCGGGGGAUCGCAAGACCUCGCGCGAUAGGAGCGGCCGAUAUCGGAUUAGCUAGUUGGUGAGGUAAAGGCUCACCAAGGCGACGAUCCGUAGCUGGUCUGAGAGGACGACCAGCCACACUGGAACUGAGACACGGUCCAGACGCCUACGGGAGGCAGCAGUGGGGAAUUUUGGACAAUGGGGGCAACCCUGAUCCAGCCAUUCCGCGUGAGUGAAGAAGGCCUUCGGGUUGUAAAACUCUUUCGGCAGGAACGAAACGGUGAGCUCUAACAUAGCUUGCUAAUGACGGUACCUGAAGAAGAAGCACCGGCUAACUACGU
rnacentral:rRNA from 1 species